AGCCCAAACCGAACCCUUGUGGUUCGGGGUUGUAGGACUGAACAUUUGAGUUACAAAAGUAUUUGAUAGUUGAAGUAGUUGGGAAGCUACACCAAAGAGAGUGAUAGUCUCGUAAACGAAAUCGAAUACCCUCAGUUCAGGAUCCUGAGUACGGCGACACACGUGAAACGUCGUCGGAAUCUGGGAGGACCAUCUCCCAAGGCUAAAUACUCCCUAGUGACCGAUAGUGAACCAGUACCGUGAGGGAAAGGUGAAAAGCACCCCGGAAGGGGAGUGAAAUAGUUCCUGAAACCAUGUGCCUACAAGCAGUCAGAGCCCGUUAAUGGGUGAUGGCGUGCCUCUUGUAGAAUGAACCGGCGAGUUACAGUUGCAUGCAAGGUUAAGCCGAAAAAGCGGAGCCGUAGCGAAAGCGAGUCUUAAUAGGGCGCCAUAGUAUGUUGCCGUAGACCCGAAACCAGGUGAUCUACCCAUGUCCAGGAUGAAAGUGCGGUAAUACGCACCGGAGGUCCGAACCCGUGUACGUUGAAAAGUGCUGGGAUGAGGUGUGGGUAGCGGUGAAAUUCCAAACGAACUUGGAGAUAGCUGGUUCUCUCCGAAAUAGCUUUAGGGCUAGCCUCGGAAUUAGAAUCAUGGAGGUAGAGCCACUGUUUGAGCAAGGGGUCCAUCUAGGAUUACUGAGUUCAGAUAAACUCCGAAUACCAUUGAUUUAUGUCCGGGAGUCAGACGAUGAGUGAUAAGAUCCAUCGUCGAAAGGGGAACAGCCCAGACCGCCAGUUAAGGUCCCUAAAUAUAUGCUAAGUGGAAAAGGAAGUGGAGUUGCAUAGACAACUAGGAUGUUGGCUCAGAAGCAGCCACCAUUUAAAGAGUGCGUAAUAGCUCACUAGUCGAGUGAUUCUGCGCCGAAAAUUUACCGGGGCUAAGCAUAUUACCGAGACUGCGGACGCAACUAUGUUGCGUGAUAGGAGAGCGUUCUAAGGGCAAUGAAGGUAGACCGUAAGGACUACUGGAGCGCUUAGAAGUGAGAAUGCCGGUAUGAGUAGCGAAAGAUCAGUGAGAAUCUGAUCCACCGAAUGACUAAGGUUUCCUGGGGAAGGCUCGUCCACCCAGGGUUAGUCGGGACCUAAGCCGAGGCUGAGAAGCGUAGGCGAUGGAUAACAGGUUGAGAUUCCUGUACUAGUUAAUUAUGUUUGAACGAUGGAGGGACGCAGUAGGCUAAGAUAUGCACACGAUUGGAAAUGUGUGUUCAAAUCGUAAGUCAGUUUAAGAGU
rnacentral:rRNA from 1 species